rnacentral:lncRNA from 1 species
GAUGAGGUUUGGCAAGAUCUUAUACGAGUGAGUAGUUUUUUUAAUUCAUUUUGUUGGUGCAAAAGGUGAUAAAGAUGAAUAAUAAACAAGAGAGAAUAAUAAUAACAAACUUUCACUACUAAAAAACGGUUACAUAGAAAAAUGCAUACACACACUGCAAAAGGAAUAAAGGUACAAUUUUUUCACACCACUCACUUGCUUAAAUAUAAA